UGCGGCGGUUCUCGUGUUAGCAUGAAAUGAUGACGUCGAGAUUUGACUGAAGCUGGAUUUGUAACGUUACUGUGCGUGGACGAGCAUCCGUCGCGAAUCCAGUGACGCGUGGCGAGGUGGCUGCACAAUAAUGUCACUUUAUUUCUCUUACUGGCUACCAGUUCCGUUUUAUUUAACCACCAUUGUGAAAGUUAUGUGGGCUGCGGUGCCGUGGUGGUAAUGUGACGCUUUCUCCGACCGCCGCAUCCGGCUCGGUUGUCGUCAUGGAGCUGGACCAAGUGACUGCGGAAACUAGCCGGGGAAAUGAGGAGGAAGCUGGGCUCAGUCUGCAUCUGGACCUCGCAGACACAGAUCCAGCCAAAAAGUGUCAAGCAGAGAUGCCGUCCCCAUUUGGAGCAGGCCAAGCUCACGAGAAGAAAAUCGGCCACAGGAGAGUCGAUGCCUCAGGAGAGACAACGUACAAGAAGACCUCCUCCUCCGCCUUAAAAGGAGCCAUCCAACUGGGUAUUGGCUAUACGGUUGGCAAUCUCAGCUCCAAGCCCGAGAGAGACGUGCUCAUGCAAGACUUCUAUGUGGUGGAAAGUAUCUUCUUCCCCAGCGAGGGCAGCAACCUUACACCGGCCCACCACUUUCUAGACUUCAGGUUUAAAACCUACGCCCCCGUGGCUUUCCGCUACUUCAGGGAACUGUUUGGAAUCCGGCCAGAUGACUACCUGUAUUCCCUUUGUAAUGAGCCACUGAUUGAGUUGACCAAUCCAGGAGCGAGCGGCUCCAUUUUCUACGUAACACGCGAUGAUGAGUUCAUUAUCAAAACUGUCCAACACAAGGAGGCAGAGUUUCUACAAAAACUUCUUCCUGGCUACUACAUGAACUUGAACCAGAACCCUCGGACAUUGCUGCCAAAGUUCUUUGGCCUCUAUUGUGUCCAGUGCGGGGGUAAAAACAUCCGACUUGUUGUGAUGAACAAUAUUCUACCGCGCUCUGUACGCAUGCACCUUAAAUUCGACUUGAAGGGCUCCACUUAUAAGAGGCGAGCGUCGAAAAAAGAGCGGGAGAAAACCAAACCCACUUUUAAAGAUCUGGACUUCCUGAGUGACGUUCCCGAGGGUCUCAGUCUGGACCAGGACACGUACAAUGCUUUGGUCAAAACCCUACAAAGAGACUGUCUGGUGCUGGAGAGUUUCAAGAUAAUGGACUACAGUUUGCUCCUCGGAGUCCAUAACAAGACACAAGCACAGAGAGAACGUCAGUCCCAAGGUUCGCCAGCAGGUGGCGUGGAUGAAAUGCGGCCUGCUGCUCAGAGAGCUCUGUACUCCACUGCAAUUGAGUCUAUACAGGGAGGGUCCACAUGCAGGGAAACUCUCGAUCAUGAUGACACAAUGGGUGGUAUUCCAGCCGUGGGAGUCAAAGGAGAGAACCUCCUCCUGUUCGUCGGCAUCAUCGACAUUCUGCAGUCCUAUCGCUUGAUUAAGAAAUUGGAGCACUCCUGGAAGUCUCUCAUCCACGAUGGGGACACAGUAUCCGUUCACAGGCCGGGUUUCUACGCCGAGCGCUUCUACAAAUUUUGUAGCGCCGUCGUCUUCAGGAAGAGCUGCUCAUUAAGACCAUCUCCUUCAAAGAGAGGUCGAGGAACUCUCGCCAUGUUAAGAUCCGGGUCGGCCGGCCAGCGUCCGUCGCAAAACGACGAGAGGCAGGAAAACCUGGAGAGCCUGCGAGGACCUCACAGCUUCCUCAUGCUGGAGGACAGUGGGAGAGAGCCGCCUUGCACGCCUCCCUCUUUUGAAGACGCCACCACGGCAUCAAUCGCCACCACGCUCUCCUCGAACAACUCCUUACCCACCACCACCCCCUUCGAUACACCCGAGCACCCGCGCUGCAGGAAACAAAUGCUCUCACCCAAUAUGGCCAAGCUCCACAAAAAGAUUGUUGACGUUCAUGAGAAGAGACAGGAGACCAUAACGGUAGAGGUUGAGCUCAGUAAAAUUCCAUCCAGCACUGAGCUGACACAGAAGACCGAAGCGAGCUCGCCAGCUGACAAUCAGCCCAGCUUCAUUCCUCCUCCUUCCACUGCGCAUUACUCGUCUACGCUUCCUCCCACCUUCCUGUCCUCCUCCGCCACUGCUCAAUCAGCUUGCCAGUCCUCCUCCACACUUUCCUCUUCCAUCCGCCCCUCCACCGAAGCACUCACCUCCCCCCUCACACGCGCGGCGACCCCUCGCACGCAAGCUACACGUUCCGCACUGCAGCCGUCCUCGGCGUUUACCCCCAUCCGUCCCGCGUCCCCUCACGCCUCCAUGCAAAGUUCGUCUCCCCACCACCCUGCAGGCAAACCAAUGAGCAAUCAGCUGUCCGUCUCCAGCAGCCACAACUCACUGGAUGGGGAGGUGCAGGUUUCUGAUAUCUACUUUUAUGCAGAUGGAAGAUAUUGGGUGUACUCUCCCGUUCUUGGCCGUCGUAAGCUAAACUCUAGCUCGAGUUACACCGUAAGUCACCAGCAUGAUAGUUUGAGUUCUGGACUGAUCGUGCGUAGCUGCACACGACUGUAGGAGAGAAGCUCGCAGAUUUAUUUGUGGCUCUUCAGAAGUUGUCAAAUGUUCUGAAGGAAUUGUAAAUUCUCUCUUCUGAAGGGCCGCGAUCUUGCGACAUUUCAGUUAUGCCUUGUUAAGAGUUUUAUGUUGUGUUUGUAUUAGCUUCUUUAGAGAUGUAGUGGCUUUUAAGCACGUCUGAGCGGACCAAGCUUAUUAGCAGCAACUGAAUCUUCUGCCCCAAAGUGAACAAGUCACAUCAUAAUUAAAGCUGCACAUGAGAAGUUGGCUUCACACACAUCUGUAAUAAUUCAUAAAUCUACUACUACUGAAGAAAAAUAAAAAGUGUGAGGUGAUCAUUAAAAAAAUUAUUUGCAGCUUUAAAUGAAACUGUGACAAGGAAUAUCUUUGCUUUUUAAGGCUUUUUGUCAUCUCUCAUUUCCUUCAUGACUGUCCUCCUCCUUUCUCUUAUUGCUGCCCUCUGCUGGUCAAAUUUGGUAACGUCAGACUCAGGACGACCAGAGCUGUGUGCAUUCUCCUCAUUCCAGCUCUGAGGAUGACUCAUGAGGAACGUCAGACAUCGCUCAGAGAGGAGCAGCGAGAAACAAGAAGAGUGUGACACGAGCUCGCAAGUUGUCGAUCGAAUUGAUACAGCUGAUGCUGAGAACUUAGGUUGCAUGUGGAAUUUUGUAACUGAUUCAGAUCGACCUUAAAAGCAUUUAGUCCAAAUUAUGCUCAUACUGUACAUAAAGGCAAAUACAUACUCAGUCAUUCAUAGAAAUACAUAUAUAAAAACAAAAUACAAAAGUAAGAAGAGAAAAUUCUCAGAGAUGAAAUUCCAGACAAUUUAGAGUGGUGCAAAUAAUUAUACUGAUCAAUAUGCUGGCUAUGCAAUAUGGACUAUUUAUUUUUUUAGCAACAUAAACAUGCUGGAUGUUUUGGUUAUUUAUUGCACUUUAUUAUUGCACUUUUAAAAAAAGAUAUCGUUUUUCAAUCAACACCUAUUGUAUUUUUAUUUUAUUUUGUCAUAACUGUUGUAGACAGAUAUUGUCGCAAUGUCUACUGGUCCAAUGUCAAACAUGCCUUAUUGACUGUCACAUUUCGAUCUGCAAUAUUAUGUGAAAAAGAUUUUUCUAGUUUUCAAUGAAAGCAUGAUAUAGAUGGCGAAUAUCCUUUGACAAAGUGUUAAGUCAAACACUUUUGUGAAUGUGUGCACACCAAUAAAAAAAUGGCCAAUUUAAAAAAAAAAAAACAUACCUGCAUGGAGCAUUGGCCAGCAUUGAAGAGUCCUUCCGAUGAGAUGACGCUGAUAUUCGGCUUGCCUCUGUGGCUGAUGUCGCUCCAGUCUUCACCAACCCCAAACAUUUGUUCUCCUCACAUCCGGAAUUUCCAAACGAUCCCAGCGAACAACAAUCCAAAAUUAAUCCAAUCCUGGGGCUGAUGGACAGUGUUAACUAGUAUGCACUUGCAUUUGAAAGUAAGGACAGUUCUGUUGGUGGUGAAGGUAUAAAAAAGAAAAAAAAAACGUGCAGGUUUAUUUUCCCAAACGAACAAAUAACUCAUAAAAACCCCAAAACACUGAUAGGCGUUUGACACAGUCGAUAAUUGUUGGCUUCGUGUCAAGCCCUACAUGUUCAAGACAACCUCGGGUUUUAUUAUAGGCUUCCUAGGACAAUGCAUGACAAUGCAUGAGAGUCUCUCUUGUGGCAUGGAGGUAAAUUACAUCAACCCAAAACUAAUGCAAAAGGACAAAAAAAAAAAA